GUAGGGAAUAUUGGGCAAUGGAGGCAACUCUGACCCAGCCAUGUCGCGUGCAGGAUGACGGCCCUCUGGGUUGUAAACUGCUUUUAUACGGGAAGAAAAAAUACUACGUGUAGUAUACUGACGGUACCGUAAGAAUAAGGAUCGGCUAACUCCGUGCCAGCAGCCGCGGUAAUACGGAGGAUCCAAGCGUUGUCCGGAUUUAUUGGGUUUAAUGGGUGCGUAGGCGGAUCUGUAAGUCAGUGGUGAAAGCCUGCAGGUUAACUGUAGAAUUGCCAUUGAAACUGAAGAUCUUGAAUGUGGUUAAAGUAGGCGGAAUGUAUCAUGUAGCGGUGAAAUGCUUAGAUAUGAUACAGAACACCGAUAGCGAAGGCAGCUUGCUGAACCAUUAUUGACGCUGAGGCACGAAAGCGUGGGGAGCGAACAGGAUUAGAUACCCCAGUAGUCC
rnacentral:rRNA from 1 species